UAAUUUAAAACUUUAAAACAGUUGUAAACUCUUGUUUAGAAUUUUUCUACUCAUUUAAGGUAAAGUUUUCUAUUCAUUUAAUCUAUGAUUGCGAGGGAGGAAAAAUUAUCAAGUUAAUAAUUGACGAAGCGAGACAUUGAUAAGUGUGUCGAAAUAUAGAAAAAAAAACCUUUAUAUGAAAACAAACAAACAUAAUUAUAGCAUUUAAAUAUUACUCUUUAAAUCAAUCUAUACCUAGAUCCAGAGCUGGACUUAAACUUGUUAUGGCUCUAAGCUGCAACAUAUAACAGGCAUUUCACCUUCACUAAAUAAUGUGAGGCCCAAGCCGCAACUUGUUUAGUUAACUCGCAAAUCUAUAGCACAUAGCACAUAGGUGUUGGCAAUAAAACAAUAGCAAAAAUUUCCUAAUAGUUUUGGCAAAUUUUCAAAAAAUAAAAAUGCUAUUUGUAAUUUAUUAGAAAGACAUAUAUUUUAUUAUUGAAUUUUUAGCAUAUAACUGACAUUUUCUGUGACAGUCCACAUGUUUAUGGCACAUCUGUUACAUAUGGAUAGCUUCAGUAGUAGUGUUAUAUUUUUAAAGGAUAUCCUUAUUUGAAAUUGUAAGGAAAAAGUACACGCUAAUAUUGAUUCACGAAAGGAUUUUCAUAAUCGAAGUUUCUAAAGCUCCUUAUCGUGGUUCCGUUAAGUCAAGUUUACCGACUCAGGGAUCGCCCGGUGUAUACAGACGUAUCAGCGCGACGGCACAUGUUUUACAGGAGAGCACCGCUGCCGUUCGGGAGAAAAUGACCGCUAGGAGGAGUAUGAGCGACA